rnacentral:rRNA from 2 species
UAUUAUAUUUAAUGUUAAGUAAUUACUGGAGUAGUAAUAGUUGUUCUUGAAACUCAAAGAAUUUGGCGGUAUUUUAGUCUUUUCAGAGGAAUCUGUCCUGUAAUUGAUAAUACACGAUUUGUUCAACUUGAUAUUUUUACUAGUUUGUAUACCGCCGUCAUAAGAUUAUUUUUGUUUUUGAGAAUUUAAUUUUCUUGUCAUUUUAUUAAAAGGUAUGUCAGGUCAAGGUGCAGCUUAUUAUUAAGUGGAGAUGGGUUACAAUAAAUGUAUUUUAUUACGAAUAAUUAUUUUAGGUUAAUUUGAAGGUGGAUUUGAUUGUAAAUUUAUUUUUUGAUUUUUAUGUUGAUUCGAGCUCUAAAAUGUGUACAUAUCGCCCGUCGCUCUCAUAUUUUAAGAUGAG